CCUACGGGCGGCAGCAGUAGGGAAUAUUGCUCAAUGGGGGAAACCCUGAAGCAGCAACGCCGCGUGGAGGAUGAAGGUUUUCGGAUUGUAAACUCCUUUUGUUAGAGAAGAUAAUGACGGUAUCUAACGAAUAAGCACCGGCUAACUCCGUGCCAGCAGCCGCGGUAAUACGGAGGAUGCGAGCGUUACUCGGAUUUACUGGGUUUAAAGGGUGCGCAGGCGGUCUGUCAAGUCAGCGGUCAAAGCCCGGGGCUAAACCCUGGCCCGCCGUUGAAACUGGCAGUCUCGAGUUGGGGAGAAGUAUGCGGAAUGCGCGGUGUAGCGGUGAAAUGCGUAGAUAUCGCGAGGAACACCGAUUGCGAAGGCAGCAUGCCGGCUCCACACUGACGCUGAGGCACGAAAGCGUGGGUAGCGAACAGGAUUAGAUACCCCAGUAGUC
rnacentral:rRNA from 1 species